rnacentral:sRNA from 1 species
CUCGGGAACGACGCCGGGGUCGCGACCUCGGCGCUGC